UACGUAGGGUGCAAGCGUUGUCCGGAAUUAUUGGGCGUAAAGAGCUCGUAGGCGGUCUGUCGCGUCUGCUGUGAAAACUCGGGGCUUAACCCCGGGCCUGCAGUGGGUACGGGCAGACUAGAGUGCGGUAGGGGAGACUGGAAUUCCUGGUGUAGCGGUGAAAUGCGCAGAUAUCAGGAGGAACACCGGUGGCGAAGGCGGGUCUCUGGACCACAACUGACACUGAGAGACGAAAGCCAGGGGAGCAAACGGG
rnacentral:rRNA from 1 species